AAACUAAAUCUUUUGUUCACCAGCUGCUCAGCUUUUCAGUCUGGGUCUGAGCUGAAACCUGCUGCAAGUCUGACGGUACCAAAUUACAUAUAUAUCUGUCAAAAUGAUGUAGGACCUAAAGUCUCUCUGUAAGUUGAUCCUUUUGACCCCAUGAUUAGGAGCUUCACAAUGUGGUACCACACCUGGAAACCUCCAGAACAAGAUCUCAAGGAAACACAGGAAAUUCCUGAAACAGCAAAACCCCCUAUGUGAAGACGUCUGUUAUUCCUUUGUGUAUCAGGAGCAUCACUGUUAAUUAACUGUUGAUACACUUAAAACAGCUUGGUUGGCAAUGUCCUUUUUGAAUAAAGAAGAGCCAGGUGUGUUUUUCAGGAUGAACUAGACAAUGCUGUCACAAGUUUACCUCUACAUCUUAUUGCCUUGGAAAAAUUUCCUGCAUAUCGUGGCACAAGAUGGUUGGCUCUCCAGGCAGCAGUUGGCGUUGUGAAUCAGUCAUCUCAGCAUGUGUCUCCAAGAUCCCACAGCAGGGGGAAAAAGAGGUGGAGGGUCACAUGCCUGGUGUUACAUACUUUGAGGCAGAGGUGGUAGGUGCCAUUUCUGCUCACAGCUCAUGGACCAGAACAAAGCCAUGCAUACCUGAGAGAGGACCAGAAAAUAUUCUGAAGCAGAUGGCUAUUUGGUGAGCAGUAAAUGUUUCUGUUACAACAGGUCUUGACAAACUUCAAAUGUACUCCUACUAGGCCUACUUCACACCACUAAACUCUGUACUUCCUGUUGCUUGAUGGCAUCUUAUGCUGAUGUUUUCUAUCAUAGUGUCCGGCACAAAACAAGAGCUCAAUACAUAUACUUAAUAGCGCAUUUAGAUCUAAGAGUUUCACUUUAUCAAAAGAUUUUAGUACCUACGUAGCUAUUGGGCCACAUCAGGAAAAUGUAACUGCUUCUACAACUGCAAAGAAAAUUUAACUAAUUGUAUGCUCAUCCCAGCUUCAGGUUUUUGUUUUGUUUUGUUUGCUAGCUUCUUUUUAUUUCAUAAUUUUUGCUUUGUUUUCUGCCCUUGAGCAGAGGUUCAUUUCUAGUUUUCACUGGAAUUAGAACAACAGUUGUGUCCAUAUGCAAUAACAGUGUUUCAAAUUCUUUGGGGAUUUGCCCACAGUGUCUGCAGUCAUAUUGUGACACCAGUUGUGAUGCCAGUCUCUGUAAAUCAGACUUAUUCCCAGUGAGACAUUAUAUAUUUUUGCAGCCAAUACGAUCUAUUUUAUAGCGAUUUAUAGCAUUGUCUCUGAAAAGGAUACUUUGAUUUGUGUCUUGUUUUUGUCAGUUUUCAACACUUUGAUUGUGGCCCAGGUUAAUUAAUAUUUUGUGUCUAGGUUUCCUCAUCUCUAAAAUAAAGAUGUUUAUUUCUAUAGCUUCAUGUUGACAAUUAAAUUAUAUAAUUUAUGUUACUCAACUAGCAAGUAAAUUGAUGUACAGUGUAUUUAUAAAUGAUAGAUACUAUCUUUAUGUUAAUUUUUAUUAUUGUCAUCAUUAUCAUCAAUUUUCAGGUCCGUGUUCUGACUAAAAGGAAGCCACACUCUGUCGAAAACAAGCUUUGUAAGAAAAUUUUGAAGUAUUUACUUAUAUCUAACCAUUCAUUCCACCUUUUCUCCCAAAUAACACUCUAAUAUCUUGAGACAUCUUGUCUAGGGCCAGAUUUCAUAAAUGCUUGUGAGGCAGGAGAAUAAGUUCCAGAGGCAGUUCACACUGCCUAAAGCCAAUUCACACUGACUUCCUAUAACUAAAUCUAAAGGAAAAUCUCAACUUUCCUCGCCCAAGUAACAAAAGAAUCAGAGGUUAUACUCCCUUUGCAACCUGCCCCUUUUCUGCCUGGCAGAUGAAAAAUGAAAAGUACCUAUGACUGGUCCCCUCCCACGACCAGCCAGACUGGUCACGGAUCACUACUUCAUUUACAUAGGGCGUAAACCGAGUAACCAAUGGGAAACCUCUAGAGGGUAUUUAAACCCCAGAAAAUUCUGUAACCGGUGGUCUCCAGCAGGUUGCUCAAUCUUGCUGCCACUCUGUGGGAUGUACUUUUGUUUCAAUAAAUCUGUGCUCUUCCUUCAAAAA
rnacentral:lncRNA from 1 species